rnacentral:misc_RNA from 1 species
AAGACUAUAGACCUGCGGAGUACCUGCGGAAGGAUCAUUAUCGAGUUUUGAAGUGGGCUGCUUGAGCUGGCACGCAGGUGCUCGGCGGCUCCGCUCUCAUCCACUCAACCCCUGUGCACCUUGAACGAGUGUGGGUCUGGUCUAGUAUUGGAUCGCCUCGUUUCUUACAAACUCUUAUUAUUGUUUUUGUAAUGCAUUGCCUCUUUGUGGGCGAAAUGUUAAUACAACUUUCAACAACGG